rnacentral:rRNA from 1 species
UACGUAGGGUGCAAGCGUUGUCCGGAAUUAUUGGGCGUAAAGAGCUCGUAGGCGGUCUGUCGCGUCGGCUGUGAAAUCCCGGAGCUCAACUCCGGGUCUGCAGUCGAUACGGGCAAACUGGAGUACUGCAGGGGAGACUGGAAUUCCUGGUGUAGCGGUGAAAUGCGCAGAUAUCAGGAAGAACACCCGUGGCUAAGGCGGCUCUCUAGUACGGUACUGACGCUGAGACGCGAAAGCGUGGGGAGCGAACAGG